GUGCUCGCUUCGGCAGCACAUAUACUAAAAUUGGAACGAUACAGAGAAGAUUAGCAUGGCCCCUGCGCAAGGAUUUAUAUUUCCCUGAUGCUGAGUGAUGUGGAGCAUUUUU